GCCAUUCAAGUUAGAAUUCUGGUUCCGUUACUACAGGUCAUGCCUCAAGCCUCAGACAUCGAUGAAUUGGCCUCUGUCCCACCAUCUCCUUCCUGCCAGAGGAUUGGGGCACGGGAGUGCACCUUCACUUCACUUCUAUAUAUCCUGGACCAUUCCCAAGCUCAUGGCCGAACUACAGCACAGCAAAGAUGAUUUAUUUAGGCUUUUUUUCCCCAGCAUGCCAGGCAACAGCACUGAACAAGUCUCCUUAAGUACUGUUGCUACAUCUCUGACACAGAUACAAACUACCCUAAACUAAUUGACAACAUCAUUUCACGAGCUAUGGGCUAGGGUUGAAACACCUGAGAAUCACCCAACCACCACCAUGACCCCAGAGACACCGCUACUCCUGAGAUACUUGCUGUCCCAGCCCCUCUAUCCAUAGUCUCAGGUACAGGUACCAGCACCCUCUCUUUCAUUCCGGCACAUUUCAUGCCAGGAAACAUUUGGAAGGAUAUAUUAGAGGGCAAGGAUGUUAAUUUGGCUUCCCCCCUGAUAGUGGCUCACGACGUAGUGGAGAAUAAGUCUUUUGCUUGCGGCACUGUUUCAGUAGUAGUUAAGGCUAAGGACCAUAGACUUAGCCGCAAACUCUCUAUCCUAGGUUUUGUCCUUGCCUUUAGUUUUUUACAGGGAUAUAAUUUGCUCCGUAAGCCCGCAUAGGAGAGAGGAACUGGAUCUUUACCUCUACAGGAUAGUGAAAUUGGGUCAGAAAUAUGGUUGCUCUGCAUUUUAUGACUAUCAUUGCUCUUUUUCCGCCAAGACCACCGCUAUUCUGUCUCAGAAAGCCCUAAUUUGUAAUAAUUUUAGAUAUACCACAUAAAAUUACAAUCAAUGUCACUUUCUACAUAUUUCUGCCAAUUGUUAUAGGGCUCACCCCAAGUCCUCCUGUACACUUAAACAGGUAAAGUCCACCUGACUAAGCCACAUUAAUAACCACUACCUGCACGCCUGCUUGGUUACACACCCUUCCCCCAGUCAGCAAACAUGGUGGCAGUGGAUUCCUAACUCCAGUGUGAGCUAGAGAAGGGUUUUGUUAUUGGACCUUUCACUGUACCACCGUUUCACAACUGAAGGGUCAACCCGAUUGGGUUGGUCAAGGAAAAUUUUUCCAAUAAAGUUAGUUUGAUUUA